UAGGGAAUUUUCCACAAUGGGGGCAACCCUGAUGGAGCAACGCCGCGUGCAGGAUGAAGGCCCUAGGGUCGUAAACUGCUUUUAUCUGUGAAGAUUAUGACGGUAGCAGAUGAAUAAGGAUCGGCCAACUCCGUGCCAGCAGCCGCGGUCAUACGGAGGAUCCAAGCGUUAUCCGGAAUUACUGGGCGUAAAGAGUUGCGUAGGCGGUUAAGUAAGUUGGUAGUGAAAGCGUGGGGCUCAACCUCAUAUCCAUUACCAAAACUACUUUGACUAGAGAAUGAGAGAGGUCGCUGGAAUUACUAGUGUAGGAGUGAAAUCCGUAGAUAUUAGUAGGAACACCGAUGGCGUAGGCAGGCGACUGGCUCAUUUCUGACGCUGAGGCGCGAAAGCGUGGGGAGCAAACAGGAUUAGAUACCCCCGUAGUCCCUGAGCGGGCUGGCAAGGCGCAU
rnacentral:rRNA from 1 species